CCGAGCCACCUCCCCUUUUAGUCUGCCUGAGCCACCUCCUCUGCCACCGAGUCACCUUCACUGCAAGUCUAUAUCUCUGAUCUCUGCGACUCCUUCAAGGCUUCAAUCCCUGAAUCUUAGGCCAUCAAGGACUGGGUUCGUUGGGUUCGUGACGAAAGCAUAGCCAUCUCUAAAGCAAAACUAGUUCUCCCUCUCUCUUUCUCUAGGUUUUGCUCUUCACUUCCGCUACCGGCUUCUAGCAGUAAGCAGCAGCUAGCUUCUCCGAUGUCGAGUUUCAUGCCAACAGCCAAUCGAUCAGAACACGAAUCCCAACAAGUUUGAGGUCUCUGAACCUCCAAACGACUCCAUUUCGAGCCUCAGCUUCAUCCCCAAAGCCAAUCACCUUGUCGCCACCUCCUGGGUCAACCAGGUUUGAUGUUGGGAG